GCUGGUAUGGCUCAGUCGGUAGAGCAGCUGAUUCGUAAUCAGCAGGCCGCCGGUUCAAGUCCGGCUACCAGCUCCA
rnacentral:tRNA from 1 species